AUGAGAGUGGGCGUGGCCACGGAACGAUGGGGCGGAGUCGCGCGGAGGGGGCGGGGCCUAGGAACGAGCGGUGAGGCGGAGCGCGAGGGAGGGGGCGUGUCUGAGUUAGGCCCCGCCCCUCGCCUUGCACGCGCAGGCGCGCGGCGGGGCGCGGCCCAUUGUCGGGGCGGGGCGGGGCGGGGCCGGGAGGGGGGCGGCGGGGCGGGGGGGAGGGGGCGCAGAGCGGCGGCGGCGGCGUGCGGCGGGCACCGGGCCCCGGGCACCGGCACCGGCACCGCCCCGGCCGCUCCUCCCGCCGCCAUGCCCGGCUCCAUCUACCAGCCCGACGGCGGGCAGGCUGCCCGCGGCCCGCCCCGCUGCCUGGCGCUGCUCAGCCCUCCGCCGCCGCCACCGCCGCCGCCCACCGGGCAGGAACCGGAGCCCGAGGCGGAGCGGGAGGAGCAGCAGCAGCAGCCGCCAGCGCCGCCGGACGAAGCGGCCGCCCUGCGGUUCGCCCUGUCGCAGCUGUCGCUGCUGGGGCUGGACGAGGCGGCGGGGGAGGCUCUGGAGGAAGCGGAGCCCGGCGAGGCUCGGGGAGGCCACCGGGGGAGCGGGGGCAGCCCCCCGCUUACCGGCACCGCCGAGCCCGGGACAUCGCCGGCGGCUCGAGGAGAGGAGCGCCGCGGGGAGAGCAGCGCGCUCCGCUCGGGAUGCGGGCGUGGAUUCGGCUGCGUGGCGGGGGGCUCGCGGCCCCCCGGGGGUCUCUCGGUGGUCGGCGAUCCCAUGGUGAGGUCUGUGCCUCCGCUGGGAAGCGUCUUUGUGGGUGGGUUGGGUGAACCCGACUUUGUCCAGGUGUCCUGCCUCCGGCAGCACCCGGCCUCGGGGUGGCUUCUGCUCCCCGAGGAGCUCGCCGUGUGCCCGGGUGCCCCGCACACCUCGCUCGGAGCUCAGGGUGCUCGUGGAGCCCCGUGGGGCUGCAGGAGGAGGCUGGGAGAGAUGCUUGCGCUACGUCGAGGUGGGGCGAGUGGGGUGCUGCUGCGGGGUUUGGGGGGACACGGUGCCAGUGAUGGGCUGUGGGUGCCCCAGCCCGCCCACAGCGCCUGUCCCCGUGGGAUUUGCUCCGUGGGUGCCUUUGGCUCCCCGAGGAUGCUGCGGCCCCUUUGUGCUGGGGUUUUGGUGUGA
rnacentral:lncRNA from 1 species